rnacentral:rRNA from 1 species
CGCGGUAAUACGGAGGGUGCGAGCGUUAAUCGGAAUUACUGGGCGUAAAGCGCGCGUAGGCGGUUUGGUAAGUUGGAUGUGAAAGCCCAGGGCUCAACCUUGGAACUGCAUUCAAAACUGCCAGGCUAGAGUACGGUAGAGGGGGGUAGAAUUCCACGUGUAGCGGUGAAAUGCGUAGAUAUGUGGAGGAAUACCGGUGGCGAAGGCGGCCUCCUGGCUCGACACUGACGCUGAGGUGCGAAAGCGUGGGGAGCGAACAGGAUUAGAUACCCUGGUAGUCCACGCCGUAAACGAUGAGUGCUAAGUGU